CAUCUCCGGCGGCGGGGCUUGGAGCGCGCGCAUUUCGUGGGGCGGGAGCCCGCGCCCGGGUGCUGACCUCCUGCCUCAGCGCCCCCUCCCCCACUACCCGCGGCCUAGCGGGGUAGCCUCGGGUGGCCAGGCUUGUUUCCUCCUCGGUGGGUGUAAGGUGCGGCUUCGCUGGUCCUGGCCUGAAUCCAGCGGAAGCGCACGCUGCUGAGCUGUCAGCGGAGGAAAAUGGGGCCUGGACCUGGAGAUAUGAGGGUCUGGAGAGAGGGGCCCCUUCCCUGGUGUCGUGUGGUGCGACCACUGGAGAGGGAGUUUCUCGCCCUCGUCGCGCCUGCCGCGCGGAGAGAUAAGGAAUAGCUCUAAUCCAUAGAGGUAAUACUGUACCUGGCCACAACCAAUGAAUCCAGUGGUACACACCUAAUACAAGCUGAGCCAGUGAGAGAGGCUCUCCCAGCAAAGCAAAACUUGAAAGAUAAAGAGGCAGGAGGCCUUUGCAGGAACGCUAUUGUGAAGAAUACAGUUUAAGAACAUGCAAAUUCAUGAAGCGUUCCAUAUUUAAAAAAAAAACAAAAACAAAAAACUGCUAUUGCAUAGCAUCCAAGUGGAUUUGACCAGAAGUGGUUCAGAUAUGGGUAGUGUGGAACUCAGAGCAAGAUCUGAGCUGAAGAGGUAAGCUUGGAAGACAUUAGCAAAUGGGUGGUAACAGAAGGCAUGUGGGAGUAAAUGAGAGGACCAUCCAGGGCAAGUGUAUAGUCUAAGAAGAGUAAAGGUUGAGGACAAAACUCCAGGGAACACCAAUACUUAAAGGGUUGCUGAAAGAAAGGAGUCCCAAAGGGACUGAAAAGGGGACGCCAGAAAAGUAGGAGGGAAAACUAGGAGAGAGUGCCAUCAGGGAUGCCAGAAAUUUGACCAAUUUAGGAGAUAGGGUAUGGCCAACAGUGUCAGAUGUUGCAGAGACUAGUUCAUUUGAUUUGGCAACACAAAAGUAUUGGUGAACAAUUGCAUUGUUGAGAGUUAAAAGAUUAAAUGGUAAGAAUGGGAGCGGGGCCACAGUUGCCCAUGACUUUUCCAAGAAAUCUGACUCUGCUAGGGGAAAAAAAAUAGAGUCCUUUUUAUAUAUUUAUUUAUUUAUUUUUUGAGAUGGAGUCUUGCUCUGUCACCCAGGCUGGAGUGCAAUGGCACGAUCUCAGCUCACUGCAACCUCCACCUCCCGAAUUCAAGUGAUUCUCCUGCCUCAGCCUCCUGAGUAGCUUGGAUUACAGGCACCCGCCAUCACGCCUGGCUAAUUUUUUUUUUUUUUUGUAUUUUUAGUAGAGAUGGGAUUUUACCAUUAACCAGGAUGGCCUUGAUCUCCUGACCUCGUGAUCCACCCCCCUCGGCCUCCCAAAGUGCUGGGAUUACAGGCGUGAAUCACUGCGCCUGGCCAAAUAGAGUCCAUUUUUAAAUGCUAGAAAGGGAUGGCAGAGCUGAGUGUUAGAAAGCCAGAGCCUCCUGGAUUUACCGGUGCUGUGCCAUUAUUUUCAGAGGCAUUCAUAGCUAAUGACAAAGUAGACAGUGAACUACUGCAAAGCAGAACUGGCUGCCUUGCUCAUCUCUUGCCCACAAUUAUUACUUUCCAAACUGAUGAGAGACUAUUCCUGAGAUACUUAUGAUGGAGGUAGUUGGGAGGUCCUGGUGGGGAAGGAUUACAUGGAGGGAAGAGUAGUUAUAAGUGUUUGAACUUGUUACCAUUUAAACUGAGAUUAUAGAAGGGGAGAAUGGAGUUAACCACCCCUCACCACAGUCUUGGUGAGGGAUGGUUAUGUUUGUCCUCACCUUGGUCUUGUCUACACUGUGCUCCCUAUGGAGAACUUGGACCCCUCUGCCUUGUUCCUCUCACCCAGAGAAAUUGCAGUGUCUGCUGUACCUAUUCCUAUGCCCUUCCACCCAGUCUAGUUUCUCCUGUUCUUCCCCAGAUCUCCUUCCAAAUAGACUGGUGUAACUGGCACAAAGUGUUUGUUAACUGAUUGCCAAUCCAAUAAUAAGGGGACUGAGGUUCCUCUUUGAAGGGUGGGUUUAAUUUGGGGCUUUCGUACCAAUUCUGACCACGUGUAGAGCAUCAUUCAGCACACUAUGGGCUGUGAGCACAAUCUUGCCUACCACCUGUUUUUAAAUGGCCUAAAAGCUAAGAAUGGUCUUCACAUUUUUAAAUGGUUAGGGAAAAAAAAAGCAAAUGAAGAAUAUUUCGUGACACAUGAAAAUUACAUGAAAUUUGAAUUUUAGUGUCCAUAAAUAAAAAGAGGGUUGAGGACAAAAACUCCAGGGAACACCAGUAUUUAAAGAGUAGCUGAAAGGAAGGAGUCUAUGAAGGAGACUGAGAAGGAGAUGCUCAAGAAGUGGGAGGAAAAGCUAGGAGGAAACUAGGAACACAGCCACUCUCCUUCAUUUACAUAUUGUGCAUGGAGGCUUUCGUGCCACAGUUGAGUACUCAUGACAGAGAUCUGAUAGCCCACAAUGUCUAAAAUAUUUGCCAUCUGGCCCUUUACAGAAAAAGUUUGCUAACCCCUGGUUUAGGACUCUAGGUGGCUGUGUCCCAUAUGUCUCCCCACUGGUAGUCUCAUAAACUUCUUUUCUACUGUCCAGGGGCCUGAAUCUCCCCACUGCCAGAACCGCUGAUGGGUUAGUGCAUAAAUGUUGGGAUACUGGGAAAUGUUCUUUUGUUUUCUGGAGGGUUACCAUGAUUUCCAAACCCUAGUCCUUCCCUGGCACCCUGCCUCCACCACACAGACACACACACAUAUAUACACAUUGCUGUUCCAGAAUAUCUAGGAGGUCAUAGAGUUGUUUUUGUUUUUGGCUAUUACUGCUGCUAUUACUUGUUUAUCAAAAGAGGAUAUGAAGCCAGGCACAGUGGCAUGUGCCUAUAGUCCCCAGCUACUGAGGCGGGAGGAUCGCUUGAACUCGGGGGUUCAAGACUGGAGUGAGUUAUGAUUGCACCUGUAAGUAGCCACUGCACUCCAGUCUGGGCAACAGGGGAAACUUUGUCUUAAAAAAAAAAAAAAAAAA